GUUGCCGUGUAACAAACGGCUCGUCUGAAAUGCCUGAGUGUACCCUGCUUUGCGACGUAUUCGGUGUGAUAAAUCUUUACCGGAGUUGACUUUUUCGAGUCGCGCUUGUACCUGUGGGCUCUAUGCUUCCAAACAGUCCUGACAAGGACAAUCUUUGACAAUUUGACCUCAAAUCGGGUGGGACUACCCGCUGAACUUAA
rnacentral:misc_RNA from 1 species